CACCGGAGACGACGAGAUUCUCCGGCUUACGGCGGCGGCGCUUCCGAUUUUGGGCUUGUGCGAGAUAGGAAACUGUCCUCAGACGGUGGGUUGCGGUGUCGUGAGGGGAACGGCACGACCGUCGACGGCGGCGAACGUGAACCUCGGCGCGUUCUAUCUGGUUGGCAUGCCGGUGGCUGUUGGUCUCGGGUUUUGGGCCGGUAUUGGGUUUAAUGGGCUUUGGUUAGGACUCCUAGCAGCGCAGAUUAGCUGCGCCGGUCUUAUGUUGUACGUGGUGGGGACCACAAAUUGGGUAUUGGAGGCUGAGAAAGCGCAAACGCUAACAUGCGCAGAGACCGUAGAGAACGAUCUUAUUAAGACGGUGGCGAAUACUAUAGGGGACGACGGUGAGAGCGAUGAGGCACAGCCAUUGAUUCGCAUCACGGUGCUUUAUUAAUUAUAAAGUAUGGUUAUAAAUAUAUUUCCCCUCUUUUGAUAGAAGGAGAAAGUUUUGUCUUUCUUGAAAAAAAUUAACAUUUCUUCUUCCUUUUUCUUGUAUUUACCAUUUUUUUUUGCUUCGCUCCUUAUUUUUUAUGCCUUUAUGAUUGGCCGUCUAUAUGGAGUUCAAUGAGUUUUUUGCUCUUUAAGUUUCUACAUAUGAAUAUAUUUUUAUUUGGGGUUAUUCAAAUAAAAUUCGCUCACAUAAACUUUAAUCACAUGAACCAUUUUGAAACGUAAAUCCCAGCUGUGUCUCCGUGUGUUUAGAGUGGUGGUGGUACGAGAUCAUGACCGUUCUUUGCGGUUUGCUCGUAAACCCGAGAUCGACGGUGGCGGCAAUGGGCGUUUUGAUCCAGACGACGUCGUUUCUCUACGUCUUCCCGUCAUCUCUGAGCUUCGCCGUGUCUUCUCGUGUCGGAAACGAGCUGGGAGCGAGCCGACCCAAGACGGCGAAGCUAUCAGCGAUGCUGUCUAUCGUUUUCGCGGCGGCAACGGGUGUUACAGCGGCCGCGUUUGCUUACUCCGUCAGAAACGUUUGGGGAAGAGUGUUCACCGGAGACGACGAGAUUCUCCGGCUUACGGCGGCGGCGCUUCCGAUUUUGGGCUUGUGCGAGAUAGGAAACUGUCCUCAGACGGUGGGUUGCGGUGUCGUGAGGGGAACGGCACGACCGUCGACGGCGGCGAACGUGAACCUCGGCGCGUUCUAUCUGGUUGGCAUGCCGGUGGCUGUUGGUCUCGGGUUUUGGGCCGGUAUUGGGUUUAAUGGGCUUUGGUUAGGACUCCUAGCAGCGCAGAUUAGCUGCGCCGGUCUUAUGUUGUACGUGGUGGGGAC
rnacentral:lncRNA from 1 species